rnacentral:rRNA from 1 species
AUUGAACGCUAGCGGGAUGCUUUACACAUGCAAGUCGAACGGCAGCGCGGACUUCGGUCUGGCGGCGAGUGGCGAACGGGUGAGUAAUGUAUCGGAACGUGCCCAGUAGCGGGGGAUAACUACGCGAAAGCGUAGCUAAUACCGCAUACGCCCUACGGGGGAAAGCAGGGGAUCGUAAGACCUUGCACUAUUGGAGCGGCCGAUAUCGGAUUAGCUAGUUGGUGAGGUAACGGCUCACCAAGGCGACGAUCCGUAGCUGGUUUGAGAGGACGACCAGCCACACUGGGACUGAGACACGGCCCAGACUCCUACGGGAGGCAGCAGUGGGGAAUUUUGGACAAUGGGGGCAACCCUGAUCCAGCCAUCCCGCGUGUGCGAUGAAGGCCUUCGGGUUGUAAAGCACUUUUGGCAGGAAAGAAACGUCGCGUGCUAAUACCCCGUGGAACUGACGGUACCUGCAGAAUAAGCACCGGCUAACUACGUG